ensembl:miRNA mir92a-2 microRNA 92a-1
CCCUUUCUGUGCAGGUUGGGAUCAGUUGCAGUGCUGUUUAUUUGUAAGGUAUUGCACUUGUCCCGGCCUGUUGAGGACUAAGGGAAU